rnacentral:rRNA from 1 species
UACGGAGGGGGCUAGCGUUGUUCGGAAUUGCUGGGCGUAAAGCGCACGUAGGCGGCUUUGUAAGUUAGAGGUGAAAGCCCGGAGCUCAACUCCGGAAUUGCCUUUAAGACUGCAUCGCUUGAAUCAUGGAGAGGUGAGUGGAAUUCCGAGUGUAGAGGUGAAAUUCGUAGAUAUUCGGAAGAACACCAGUGGCGAAGGCGACUCACUGGACAUGUAUUGACGCUGAGGUGCGAAAGCGUGGGGAGCAAACAGG